rnacentral:rRNA from 1 species
UGGGGAAUCUUGCGCAAUGGGCGAAAGCCUGACGCAGCAACGCCGCGUGAGCGAAGAAGGCCUUCGGGUUGUAAAGCUCUGUCAGGGGGAAAGAAGACACCUGGGUUAAUAGCCCAAGGGUUGACGGUACCCCCAAAGGAAGCCACGGCUAACUACGUGCCAGCAGCCGCGGUAAUACGUAGGUGGCGAGCGUUGUACGGAAUCAUUGGGCGUAAAGGGCGCGUAGGUGGCUUGUUAGGUCUGAGGUGAAACCUUGGGGCUCAACCCCAAGCCUGCAUCAGAAACCGGCUUGCUAGAGUCUGGGAGAGGAGAGGGGAAUUCCUGGUGUAGCGGUGAAAUGCGUAGAUAUCAGGAGGAACACCGGUAGCGAAGGCGGCUCUCUGGAACAGUACUGACGCUGAGGCGCGAAAGCUAGGGGAGCGAACA